rnacentral:misc_RNA from 1 species
UUUGCUUGCGCAACAACUUCCAUCCUUCAUUCCUCUUCAGUUAUCUGUUAAGGCUUGUUUUGCUUUAUCAGAUUGUGGGGUUCCUGUAUUGCCUACCUACGUAAUGGUAUUCUCUUGAUCGAUCCUAGAUAUUUCCGUCCUGUAUCAUUCUUUUGAAUAAGAUGAACCUCGAAGCAGUCUCUUUGUUCCACAUUGUUAAUGCACGCAUUGAUGUUGUGGCCCAUUGAUCAUUGCUUGGUUUCAUGGACACAGAACAUGAUAUGGGCAUGGGGUCUCUUUUGAUCCCUAUUUUGUCCUCCAUUAGCGUUGCGCUACUCCUUUAAUGACACUCCCUUUCUUGCCUCGGCAUGUUCCAGCGGUUUGGGUUUCCGUUAUUCGACGAGGAAUGCAACGUGCAUUUAUCUAAGCGACAGCCUUCGCCCGUAUGGCACCGUCCCAGCGGGGUAGGUUUGUCUAUUAGGAAUGCUACCUGGUUGAUCCU